GGGCUCAGUGCUGACGGAUAUGAGAAAUCUUCGGAACGAGGAGUGAGAACCCUGGGCUCGGGCUCAAGGGGACCAGUAUUAUGAAGACCUGUCCACAUGGACUCUUUCUUCUUCGUGUCGACUUCUUCAAUGAAACGUCUCCCUGCAAAUGAAGCAUUACUUAAACCCGUAGAACAGCAACUGUCCUUGUGGGUCUUGAGUUGACAGCUACAGUAAACGACCGUAAGGAGCAGUUGGGGUGCAAGGAGCUGGGGUGCAGUGCCCCUAGGACAGAUGUUUGGGAAUCAGCGGCCUCCCCGAGGCCCAUAGUUCCAGGACACAGCCAUGUCUCAGCUGUCCCAGGAACUCUGGUGCAUCUAUAGGGCUCUUCUGUCUACUUUCACUCCCCCCCACCCCCCAUCAGGGGUAGUUUAGGGUUAGAAGAGGUCAACCCAGUGAGCCAGCCAGCUGCCGUGGGGCACCAGUCACUGCACCCCCCCUUCCCCAUGCCUCCUGCUUAUGUCACACUGGGAACCCUUUAUAGACCACUGGCCCUGUAGUCACCAUCACCUGCUGAUCCCAACAGUCCCCCACCUUCCUGUGGAAUCCUGGGAGCACCCCCCCCCCCUUACCCUUAGCACAUCAGCAUUCGUGAGACUUGCCCUUGUAACCCCUGACUCCUUCAGCCCAGAACCUUGCGGUCACUCUUUAUCUAAGUUUGUAGAUGGGGCAUAGUGACUUCCAGAAACCCGGCAAGGGAAUAAACAUAAGAUGUGCUGUC
rnacentral:lncRNA from 1 species